rnacentral:rRNA from 1 species
GACGAACGCUGGCGGCGUGCUUAACACAUGCAAGUCGAACGGUGACGAGGAGCUUGCUCCUCCGAUCAGUGGCGAACGGGUGAGUAACACGUGAGUAACCUGCCCCGGACUCUGGGAUAACAGUUGGAAACAGCUGCUAAUACCGGAUACGAGACGGAGAGGCAUCUCUACCGUCUGGAAAGUUCUUCGGUCCGGGAUGGACUCGCGGCCUAUCAGCUAGUUGGUGAGGUAACGGCUCACCAAGGCGACGACGGGUAGCCGGCCUGAGAGGGCGACCGGCCACACUGGGACUGAGACACGGCCCAGACUCCUACGGGAGGCAGCAGUGGGGAAUAUUGCACAAUGGGCGAAAGCCUGAUGCAGCGACGCCGCGUGAGGGAUGACGG